AACGAACGCUGGCGGCAGGCUUAACACAUGCAAGUCGAACGCAUCCUUCGGGGUGAGUGGCAGAUGGGUGAGUAACGCGUGGGAACGUGCCCUUCAGUUCGGGAUAACCCAGGGAAACUUGGGCUAAUACCGGAUACGUGCGAGAGCAGAAAGAUUUAUCGCUGAAGGAUCGGCCCGCGUCUGAUUAGGUAGUUGGUGGGGUAAUGGCCCACCAAGGCGACGAUCAGUAGCUGGUCUGAGAGGAUGAUCAGCCACAUUGGGACUGAGACACGGCCCAAACUCCGAUGGGAGGCAGCGGUGGGGAAUAUUGGAUGAUGGGCGCAAGCCUGAUCCAGCCAUGCCGCGUGAGUGAUGAAGGCCUUAGGGUUGUAAAGCUCUUUCGUCCGGGAAGAUAAUGACGGUACCGGAAGAAGAAGCCCCGGCUAACUUCGUGCCAGCAGCCGCCGUAA
rnacentral:rRNA from 1 species